rnacentral:rRNA from 1 species
AAGGGGGCUGCUUUUACCAUGCAAGUCGAACGGUAACAGGGACAUCGGUCCGCUGACGAGUGGCGAACGGGUGAGUAAUACAUCGGAACGUGCCUAUUAGUGGGGGAUAGCCCGGCGAAAGCCGGAUUAAUACCGCAUACGCCCUGAGGGGGAAAGUGGGGGAUCGCAAGACCUCAUGCUAUUAGAGCGGCCGAUGGCUGAUUAGCUAGUUGGUAGGGUAAAGGCCUACCAAGGCGACGAUCAGUAGCGGGUCUGAGAGGACGACCCGCCACACUGGGACUGAGACACGGCCCAGACUCCUACGGGAGGCAGCAGUGGGGAAUCUUGGACAAUGGGCGCAAGCCUGAUCCAGCAAUGCCGCGUGGGUGAAGAAGGCCUUCGGGUUGUAAAGCCCUUUUGUCAGGGAGCAAAUCCUUGGAGCUAAUAUCUCCUGGGGAUGAGAGUACCUGAAGAAUAAGGACCGGCUAACUACGUGCCAGCAGCCGCGGUAAUACGUAGGGUCCAAGCGUUAAUCGGAAUUACUGGGCGUAAAGCGUGCGCAGGUGGCUUGUUAAGAGCGAUGUGAAAUCCCCGGGCUCAACCUGGGAACUGCAUUGCUGACUGGCUCGCUAGAGUGCGGCAGAGGGGGGUGGAAUUCCACGUGUAGCAGUGAAAUGCGUAGAGAUGUGGAGGAACACCGAUGGCGAAGGCAACCCCCUGGGCUGACACUGACACUCAUGCACGAAAGCGUGGGGAGCAAACAGGAUUAGAUACCCUGGUAGUCCACGCCCUAAACGAUGUCUACUAGUUGUUGGGGAUUUCGAUCCUUAGUAACGCAGCUAACGCGUGAAGUAGACCGCCUGGGGAGUACGGUCGCAAGAUUAAAACUCAAAGGAAUUUGACGGGGGGCCCCCCACAGC